GUGCACCAGGCGCGAAUCCUCCGCAAUGCGGGAAACCGCGACGGGGUCACCCCGAGUGCCGCCCUAACGGGUGGCUGUGGCCCGGUGUAAGCAGCCGGGCUUAGAAAGGGGAGGGCAAGGCUGGUGCCAGCCGCCGCGGUAAAAACCAGCUCCUCGAGUGGUCGGGACGAUAUUGGGCCUAAAAGCGUCCGUAAGCCGGCCCCGUAA
rnacentral:rRNA from 1 species